UCCUACGGGGCGCAGCAGUGAGGAAUAUUGGUCAAUGGUCGGGAGACUGAACCAGCCAAGCCGCGUGAGGGAUGAAGGUACAGAGUAUCGUAAACCUCUUUUGUCAGGGAACAAAGGCGGGGACGCGUCCCCGGAUGAGUGUACCUGAAGAAAAAGCAUCGGCUAACUCCGUGCCAGCAGCCGCGGUAAUACGGAGGAUGCGAGCGUUAUCCGGAUUUAUUGGGUUUAAAGGGUGCGCAGGCGGUCUGUUAAGUCAGCGGUCAAAUCCCGGGGCUCAACCCCGGCCCGCCGUUGAAACUGGCAGG
rnacentral:rRNA from 1 species